GGCCCGUUAGAUCAGUUGGUUAGAGUGUCGUGCUAAUAACGCGAAGGUCGUGGGUUCGAUCCCCCCGCACGGGCCA
rnacentral:tRNA from 1 species